CUCGGGAAAUAGUUAGUUUUGUUUUCCCUCGAAUCUCAAUGUUUCUAACAUUGAGAUUCUCGGGAAAACAAAACUAUUUCCCUC
rnacentral:miRNA from 1 species